UGGGGAAUAUUGCACAAUUGGCGCAAGCCUGAUGCAGCCAUGCCGCGUGUAUGAAGAAGGCCUUCGGGUUGUAAAGUACUUUCAGUCGGGAGGAAGGUGUCAAGGUUAAUAACCUUGGCAAUUGACGUUACCGACAGAAGAAGCACCGGCUAACUCCGUGCCAGCAGCCGCGGUAAUACGGAGGGUGCAAGCGUUAAUCGGAAUUACUGGGCGUAAAGCGCACGCAGGCGGUUGAUUGAGUCAGAUGUGAAAUCCCCGGGCUUAACCCGGGAAUUGCAUCUGAUACUGGUCAGCUAGAGUCUUGUAGAGGGGGGUAGAAUUCCAGGUGUAGCGGUGAAAUGCGUAGAGAUCUGGAGGAAUACCGGUGGCGAAGGCGGCCCCCUGGACGAAGACUGACGCUCAGGUGCGAAAGCGUGGGGAGCAAACAGG
rnacentral:rRNA from 1 species